rnacentral:lncRNA from 10 species
UCAGCACCAUGAAGCUUCUCACGGGCCUGGUUUUCUGCUCCUUGGUCCUGAGUGUCAGCAGCCGAAGCUUCUUUUCGUUCCUUGGCGAGGCUUUUGAUGGGGCUCGGGACAUGUGGAGAGCCUACUCUGACAUGAGAGAAGCCAAUUACAUCGGCUCAGACAAAUACUUCCAUGCUCGGGGGAACUAUGAUGCUGCCAAAAGGGGACCUGGGGGUGCCUGGGCUGCAGAAGUGAUCAGUUUAUUUUCAGCUGAACUGUAGAGAGUGAAGGAAGAAGCCUUUUUUCUUCACUCCUACAUGACCCAGGCAUUGAUCCAGGCAAUGAAGAUUCAGUGUAAAUAACCACCACUAACAAGACCAUGGCCUUUGGAACCUGUGCUAAGAGGCAUGGAUGAGCUCCCUCAGCAUGUGGAUGGAGACUGAAGAGAGGUCUGAAGGCUCAGUGUGGUGUCUCCAUUCUCUAAGAAGUUUGGAGGAGAAGCUGGAUACAGCAAAACAGACUGAGAAGGAGCAGCUGUUGGG